AUUGAACGCUGGCGGCAGGCUUAACACAUGCAAGUCGAGCGGGGUGAUGGUGCUUGCACUAUCACUUAGCGGCGGACGGGUGAGUAAUGCUUAGGAAUCUGCCUAUUAGUGGGGGACAACAUCUCGAAAGGGAUGCUAAUACCGCAUACGUCCUACGGGAGAAAGCAGGGGAUCACUUGUGACCUUGCGCUAAUAGAUGAGCCUAAGUCGGAUUAGCUAGUUGGUGGGGUAAAGGCCUACCAAGGCGACGAUCUGUAGCGGGUCUGAGAGGAUGAUCCGCCACACGGGGGCUGGGACACGGCCCAGACUCCUACGGGAGGAAGCAGUGGGGAAUAUUGGUCAAUGGGGGGAACCCUGAUCCAGCCAUGCCGCGUGUGUGAAGAAGGCCUUAUGGUUGUAAAGCACUUUAAGCGAGGAGGAGGUUCUUUUGGUUAAUACCCAAGAUGAGUGGACGUUACACGCAGAAUAAGCACCGGCUAACUCUGUGCCAGCCGCCGCAGUAA
rnacentral:rRNA from 1 species